ACGUUUCGAAAGGAACGCUAAUACCGCAUACGUCCUACGGGAGAAAGCAGGGGACCUUCGGCUUGAGGCUAUCAGAUGAGCCUAGGUCGGAUUAGCUAGUUGGUGCGGUGUAAUAGGCUCACCAAGGCGACGAUCCGUAACUGGUCUGAGAGGAUGAUCAGUCACACUGGAACUGAGACACGGUCCAGACUCCUACGGGAGGCAGCAGUGGGGAAUAUUGGACAAUGGGCGAAAGCCUGAUCCAGCCAUGCCGCGUGUGUGAAGAAGGUCUUCGGACUGUAAAGCACUUUAAGUUGGGAGGAAGGGCAGUAAGUUAAUACCUUGCUGUUUUGACGUUACCGACAGAAUAAGCACCGGCUAACUCUGUGCCAGCAGCCGCGGUAAUACAGAGGGUGCAAGCGUUAAUCGGAAUUACUGGGCGUAAAGCGUGUGUAGGUGGUUCGUCAAGUUGGAUGUGAAAGCCCCGGGCUCAACCUGGGAACUGCAUCCAAAACUGGCGAGCUAGAGUACGGUAGAGGGUGGUGGAAUUUCCUGUGUAGCGGUGAAAUGCGUAGAUAUAGGAAGGAACACCAGUGA
rnacentral:rRNA from 1 species